rnacentral:rRNA from 1 species
CCAGACUCCUACGGGAGGCAGCAGUGGGGGAUAUUGCACAAUGGGGGGAACCCUGAUGCAGCGACGCCGCGUGGGUGAAGAAGCGCCUCGGCGCGUAAAGCCCUGUCAGCAGGGAAGAAAAUGACGGUACCUGAAGAAGAAGCACCGGCUAACUCCGUGCCAGCAGCCGCGGUAAUACGGAGGAUGCGAGCGUUAUCCGGAUUUAUUGGGUUUAAAGGGUGCGUAGGCGGACAGUCAAGUCAGCGGUAAAAAUGCGGUGCUCAACGCCGUACAGCCGUUGAAACUGGCAGUCUUGAGUGGGCGAGAAGUAUGCGGAAUGCGUGGUGUAGCGGUGAAAUGCAUAGAUAUCACGCAGAACUCCGAUUGCGAAGGCAGCAUACCGGCGCCCGACUGACGCUGAGGCACGAAAGCGUGGGUAUCGAACAGGAUUAGAUACCCCGGUA